GACGAACGCUGGCGGCGUGCCUAACACAUGCAAGUCGAACGGAAGUAAGUGCUUCGGUAUUUACUUUAGUGGCGAACGGGUGAGUAACGCGUAUCGAACCUGCCUCAUACUGGGGGAUAGCCUUGCGAAAGCAAGAUUAAUACCCCAUGGUUCCAAGUCACCGCAUGGUGGUUUGUAUAAAGAUUUAUCGGUAUGAGAUGGCGAUGCGUCCCAUUAGCUAGUUGGCGGGGUAACGGCCCACCAAGGCGACGAUGGGUAGGGGUUCUGAGAGGAAGGUCCCCCACAUUGGAACUGAGACACGGUCCAA
rnacentral:rRNA from 1 species